rnacentral:rRNA from 1 species
GAUGAACGCUGGCGGCGUGCCUAAUACAUGCAAGUCGAGCGAACGGACGAGAAGCUUGCUUCUCUGAUGUUAGCGGCGGACGGGUGAGUAACACGUGGAUAACCUACCUAUAAGACUGGGAUAACUUCGGGAAACCGGAGCUAAUACCGGAUAAUAUUUUGAACCGCAUGGUUCAAAAGUGAAAGACGGUCUUGCUGUCACUUAUAGAUGGAUCCGCGCUGCAUUAGCUAGUUGGUAAGGUAACGGCUUACCAAGGCAACGAUGCAUAGCCGACCUGAGAGGGUGAUCGGCCACACUGGAACUGAGACACGGCCCAGACUCCUACGGGAGGCAGCAGUAGGGAAUCUUCCGCAAUGGGCGAAAGCCUGACGGAGCAACGCCGCGUGAGUGAUGAAGGUCUUCGGAUCGUAAAACUCUGUUAUUAGGGAAGAACAUAUGUGUAAGUAACUGUGCACAUCUUGACGGUACCUAAUCAGAAAGCCACGGCUAACUACGUGCCAGCAGCCGCGGUAAUACGUAGGUGGCAAGCGUUAUCCGGAAUUAUUGGGCGUAAAGCGCGCGUAGGCGGUUUUUUAAGUCUGAUGUGAAAGCCCACGGCUCAACCGUGGAGGGUCAUUGGAAACUGGAAAACUUGAGUGCAGAAGAGGAAAGUGGAAUUCCAUGUGUAGCGGUGAAAUGCGCAGAGAUAUGGAGGAACACCAGUGGCGAAGGCGACUUUCUGGUCUGUAACUGACGCUGAUGUGCGAAAGCGUGGGGAUCAAACAGGAUUAGAUACCCUGGUAGUCCACGCCGUAAACGAUGAGUGCUAAGUGUUAGGGGGUUUCCGCCCCUUAGUGCUGCAGCUAACGCAUUAAGCACUCCGCCUGGGGAGUACGACCGCAAGGUUGAAACUCAAAGGAAUUGACGGGGACCCGCACAAGCGGUGGAGCAUGUGGUUUAAUUCGAAGCAACGCGAAGAACCUUACCAAAUCUUGACAUCCUUUGACAACUCUAGAGAUAGAGCUUUCCCCUUCGGGGGACAAAGUGACAGGUGGUGCAUGGUUGUCGUCAGCUCGUGUCGUGAGAUGUUGGGUUAAGUCCCGCAACGAGCGCAACCCUUAAGCUUAGUUGCCAUCAUUAAGUUGGGCACUCUAAGUUGACUGCCGGUGACAAACCGGAGGAAGGUGGGGAUGACGUCAAAUCAUCAUGCCCCUUAUGAUUUGGGCUACACACGUGCUACAAUGGACAAUACAAAGGGCAGCGAAACCGCGAGGUCAAGCAAAUCCCAUAAAGUUGUUCUCAGUUCGGAUUGUAGUCUGCAACUCGACUACAUGAAGCUGGAAUCGCUAGUAAUCGUAGAUCAGCAUGCUACGGUGAAUACGUUCCCGGGUCU